rnacentral:rRNA from 1 species
UGAGCUAAUACCGGAUGUGCCCUUCGGGGGAAAGAUUUAUCGCCAUUGGAGCGGCCCGCGUCUGAUUAGCUAGUUGGUGAGGUAAAGGCUCACCAAGGCGACGAUCAGUAGCUGGUCUGAGAGGAUGAUCAGCCACAUUGGGACUGAGACACGGCCCAAACUCCUACGGGAGGCAGCAGUGGGGAAUCUUGCGCAAUGGGCGAAAGCCUGACGCAGCCAUGCCGCGUGAAUGAUGAAGGUCUUAGGAUUGUAAAAUUCUUUCACCGGGGACGAUAAUGACGGUACCCGGAGAAGAAGCCCCGGCUAACUUCGUGCCAGCAGCCGCGGUAAUACGAAGGGGGCUAGCGUUGCUCGGAAUUACUGGGCGUAAAGGGAGCGUAGGCGGACUGUUUAGUCAGAGGUGAAAGCCCAGGGCUCAAUCCUUGGAAUUGCCUUUGAUACUGGCAGUCUUGAGUACGGAAGAGGUAUGUGGAACUCCGAGUGUAGAGGUGAAAUUCGUAGAUAUUCGGAAGAACACCAGUGGCGAAGGCGACAUACUGGUCCGUUACUGACGCUGAGGCUCGAAAGCGUGGGGAGCAAACAGGAUUAGAUACCCUGGUAGUCCACGCCGUAAACGAUGAGUGCUAGUUGUCGGCAU